UUCCCGCUUCUGCCUCUUGGUCUUAUUUUCUCCCCGUGCCGUUUCUUCGUCUUCAAACCAGGUGUGGAGUUGUUUCUUCAUCUUCAAACAAGGUGCGGAGCUCUUGGGCUUGAUUCCACUUUGGCAAUUAAACUUGCAAAGAAAUCUUUCAAGAAGAGAAACAAGGAAGCUCGUUGCGGAAGAAGUUGACAGAGUCAUACCUAAUCCGCGGUGCGAUGGCCUCUGUCCGUGGGUAUGGUAGGGGAACUUUUUUCGCGACAACGGUGUUUCAGUGUCUUCACGGCGAGUUUCCGGUGACUCAGGUGCGGCGUUUUCACGACGCGAGGAUCUCGUUCUCCAGCGUUUUAGCGACAACAGAGACUUGGAUCGAAUUAGCGAUUUAUUUAAGGUUUGAAUUCGGGUUCUGUUUUUAGGGAUUUGAAUGGGGUUUUCUUCCGGUGUCCCAUGAUUUUGGGUAUGGUUGUGGAGGAGAAGAAAUUCCAGGUACAUAUUGCAGUCAAGUUGUUACCAAAGUUUUGAAUAUGGACCCGGGUAUAGUGAAAAAACGGAGGGGAGUGAAUAUGGAUCUGGGUAUGGUGGAAGGAAGAGUAGUGGGUAUGGGGAAGAACAGCAACAGGACAAUGGGUAUGGUUAUGGAGGGAGGAGUGAGUAUGAUGAGAAAUCUAGCUAUGGGAGCCAAGGAGAAUGGUUAUGGGCAUCCACCUCAGAAGGAGGGCUACCGAAAGCCUUGCUAUGAGAAGCGUGAUGAUGAUGAUGAUGAUGAUGAGGGCUAUGGACACAAAAAAUAUUCAAUAUAGGUGAGCUGGAUAGCCUACUGUUAGUUCAGUUCAAGUGGAUCAUAAAGAAGAACAAAGAAUGAGUAGAAGACCACCUCCUGAUCCCGUGGCAGUGCUAAGAGGCCAUCGAGCUUCGGUCACAUUUUUUGUUUUAUGGGCAUUACUCUGGUACACAUUUUUUCCCUGGGUAUGGGACAUUGGCAUCCAAUAUCUAUCAAGCAUUUCUUUGGCUGCUAGUUACUUUUAUAAUAGUUUUUAACACUAAAAGUAAAAUCUGUGUUCAAUAAAUGAUGAGUUGCCUUGGAUGCCAUACCCAUCGGUGUGCCACAAGAACUCCCUGAUUUAGUUGGUUGCGUAUACAAUUAGUUUCACUUAAUAAUUAGUUGCAUCAUCCUCUUCUUGCUUGCAGUUCUGCUGAUGGUGAAGUCCGAAUUUGGGAUACCCUUCAACAUCGAACUGUGUCAUCUGCAUGGUGCUUAGUUCUAUAAUUUUUUUGGCAUUCAUAUUUGUGAAGAAUAUCGUUGAUUUUCAGAAAUAUGAUCCAUGUAUAGCCGUCCAAGAAAAUGAAAAUUUCAAUACGAAGUUACGUGCAGCAUUUGUUAAAUGAAAGGUCAAGAAUUCAGUAUAUGAUAAAGAAGCAUGAAGAAAAUGAAGAACAAGAAUGAUAAUUGUUAUUGGAGAACACUUUUUAAUUUGUUAUGUAGAAGUUUACUUUUAAUUUUUA